rnacentral:hammerhead_ribozyme from 1 species
AUCCAACUGACGAGCCACAAAUAGGACGAAACGUGCAUCCUGGAU